rnacentral:tRNA from 1 species
UCCCUGGUGGCUCAGACAGUAAAGCGUCUGUCUGCAAAGCGGGCAACCCGGGUUCGAUCCCAGGCUUGGGAA